UAGAAAUGACCAAACAGGUAGACAAAACCAGCGAGUCAAGAACAGUACAAUGGGGUGAGACCCAAGCACCUUCAUCCAACCCCGGGAGGAGGGUGCGGCGGCGGGGAGCGGGGCUGCGCGCGGCGGCUUUUUCCCCCACUUCACUUUCGCAGACCCGGGUGGGCAAGGAGCGUCCGUUCCGCUGCUCCGCGUGGCUGCAGCUCCGCAAGCGCUGAGCCCCGCCGUCCGCUCUGGCCGCGGAGCCGGCCAAAGGCCAGAAAAUGCGCAGAGCGCUCGCAACCUACCCCGGAGCCGCCGGCCGCGCGUCCCGAGCCGGCCGCAGCCGCAGCCGCCGCCGCCGCGCCGCGCCCCGCCCCGCCGCCUCGCUCCCCCAGCGCCUGCGGCCGGGAAGCUGGAGCAGCCGCGCCCGGAGACCCUGCUCGGGGUGGAGCGUGCACCACCGGGGCAGUGCGUUUAGCAAACACACCUUUAGUCUGACCCUGGGCGUAUGUGUCUGUGGCUCUAUAGGCCUGUGUCCUGGACGAGGUACUUGACAAACUGUGCUGGAACCUGCCUCAUCUCCUGCCACCUCAGAGCUUUCAGGUCCUCUGAAGACUACGUCUGGAAGGUGCUAAAACUCACGGCCUCCCAGCUGCCUGCACACAUGCAGGGACAAGGCAUGGAGUAUUCAAGCGCCUUUUGGAGCAAGCUUUUCACCAUCUUGUACUGCCUGACUCAGAAGAUAAGAAUGAGGGGAUCUCAGUCUUUUGACGAUGUGCCAGCUGUGCUGUGCUACCGACCCAUCCUCCAGAACUAGGUUUUGGGGUUCUAGUUCAUCUUUCUGGUCUCCAAAAACAAACAAUGGGAUCCUUUCUUCCAGAGGGCCAAAAUGGCAAUACCAUUACCAUUCUUGGAUUCCCAGGAAUACAGAGCCUCUCCCAACAAGUGUUUGCCUGGCUGUGCACAGUAAUCUCAACACCGGUGUCCCAGGAAAUGGCCCACAAUUUCACCAUAUUCAGGAAGUCCUGUUGAAGAAAUGUAGAGAGCUGUGUUUUCUUGGGAGGGUCACUGACUCAAUGACCUCCAUUUCCAGGCUGUUUGCCCAUUGUAAUCAAUUUUUCCUUCUGUUACGCACAUUUAUGAAAUAUUGGGUACCUGGCUUUUCUUAGGGAUGCAUGUCUAACUCCACAUAACUCUACAUGGUUUCAGUUGUUUACAAGGCAAUCUUGGGUGAUCCUAGCAACUCUAUUGCUGUCAUUUUAAGACCAUUAGAACCUUAGAAACGUCCUAAGAGUCCUCCUUUUUUUAUUCUUCUUGCUUAUUUUUAAAUGGAAGGAAGUCUUAUGAGGUAGCAAGGUGGUGAGGAGGAAGACACUGCUUUAGCUCCUGCUAGUUAUUCCAUGUUAUGCUUGAGCUUGUUAUUUGCAUCUGGUCUCUAUUUGUUAGCAUCAAUGGACUGUGUUUGCAUAACUAGAUCAAAUUAUGAAAGGACUUUGAUUUUGAAUGGUUAAUUCACACACACAGUCAAGCU
rnacentral:lncRNA from 1 species